rnacentral:lncRNA from 12 species
GGGUUCAUGACCUGAGGUGAAGGCAGACACUCAACAACUGAGCCACCCAGGUGCCCCUGAACCUAGAAUAUCUAAAGCAAUUUUAUACCUAUUCAUCUAAUUCCAUUGACUUACAUGAAUUAAAGCCACUUAGAAUACACAUUAAAUAUACUAUUUACUAUUUUUCUCACAUACAGCUUUGUAGCUUAUUAAUCCUCUCAUGACAAAUCUGCACAAACACCACAGAUGAAGUCACUGCAGAAUCUUACUCCUGUUGUCCAGUCUCCAGAAGAUGAAUCUGAGGACAAGGUAAUAGUGGUUGAGUCAUAAAAUGGAAAGAGCCUCAGGAUUUAAUCCCCUCCCCUCCAUGGAGAAGAUCUAUCAGGUUGAACACCAAUCUGAGUCACAUUUGUUAGUAUGCAAUAGCCGCUACCUAUCUGUUGAAAGGGACUUUACUGCACACACUUCAAGGAUAAAGAUCAUUGAAAAAAGAUAAUACAUCAUUAUUCAGAAGAGCCAGCAAAUUCACAGGUUUGUCUGGCUAUUUCUCAUAAAUCUUCAUCUUUGCAGCUGGUAUUACCACAAACAAAAUGUAUUAGAUAAAGUAUAUUAUAUCUCCACACAAAAAGAGAAUAUAAUCCAAUUGUUUAGCUCACAAGCUUCUAAUUCUGACAAAGAUUUAAUUGAAGCGAAACAAGGAGCUCUUUCUGUCUUUUGAAUUCCAUAAAAAUCAAACAAAAUGAGCAGACU